CCUACGGGGUGCAGCAGGGGGGAAUAUUGCACAAUGGGCGCAAGCCUGAUGCAGCCAUGCCGCGUGUAUGAAGAAGGCCUUCGGGUUGUAAAGUACUUUCAGCGGGGAGGAAGGCGAUAAGGUUAAUAACCUUGUCGAUUGACGUUACCCGUAGAAGAAGCAUCGGCUAACUCCGUGCCAGCAGCCGCGGUAAUACGGAGGGUGCAAGCGUCAAUCGGAAUUACUGGGCGUAUAGCGCACGCAGGCGGUCUGUCAAGUCGGAUGUGAAAUCCCCGGGCUCAACCUGGGAACUGCAUUCGAAGCUGGCAGGCUGGAGUCUCGUAGAGGGGGGUAGAAUUCCAGGUGUAGCGGUGAUAUGCGUAGAGAUCUGGAGGAAUACCGGUGGCGAAGGCGGCCCCCUGGACAAAGACUGACGCUCAGGUGCGAAAGCGUGGGGAGCAAACAGGAUUAGAUACCCUGGUAGUC
rnacentral:rRNA from 1 species